CUUCUCCAUCUAGAUAGCUAUCUCUUAAACAUAUGUGGGUAAGAAAUUUGAGUAUGCAUCGGUAGGGUGACCAUUAUGCAGGAAGCUAAAGUGAGUUUAAGAUCUAGCUAGCUAGUCCCGGAUCUAAAAUAUUUUCGGCAACAGGAUCUAAAAGUCUUUGAGAGCACGCUAUUUUAAGGUAUGUAUUUCGAAAGUUCUGGAACUUUAAGAACUGUUGCAUAUGUCGGAGUCCAAAGGCCUCUUAGAAAUACCAAUGAUAUACAGUCUGGCCCACGUUGAUCUCUAAAGGAAGAAUUGAAAGUGUACUGCAAGUACGUACUAUCUCUUCAAGCUGUACUACAAUAUAGCAUAAUCAUGUACUGAAUAAGCUCGUUUUAUCUAUAAAACACUGAGAUUAAAAACAACCAGAAGAUCCUGCUAACAGUUUUCUUUGCUUUGAGUGCACUUAAUAUCGCAUUCUUGGAUGACUUGAU
rnacentral:lncRNA from 1 species